CAUGGUUGUCGUCAGCUCGUGUCGUGAGGAUGUGGUUAAGUCCCGCAACCGAGCGCAACCCUCGCCUCUAGUUGCCAGCAUUCGGUUGGGCACUCUAGAGGGACUGCCGGCGACAAGUCGGAGGAAGGUGGGGAUGACGUCAAAUCAUCAUGCCCCUUAUGACCUGGGCUACACACGUGCUACAAUGGGCGGUACAAAGGGCUGCGAACCCGCGAGGGGGAGCGAAUCCCAAAAAGCCGCUCUCAGUUCGGAUUGCAGGCUGCAACUCGCCUGCAUGAAGCCGGAAUCGCUAGUAAUCGCGGAUCAGCAUGCCGCGGUGAAUACGUUCCCGGGCCUU
rnacentral:rRNA from 1 species